UUGCAUCAUCAAUCAAUUAAAGAGAUUCUAGGAUGUUCUAUUCCUGUUUUCUUCCUACGAUUCUCCAAUUCAGCCAUUCCUUUUAGUUUAUUCUUCUCUUUCUAAAUCUGAAUUUAUUUACAUUUGCUUAUUUCAUGAAUCUCCGUCAUUCUUAUUUCUCUUUAACUUAGUUGCUAUAUCUUUUAUUCCAUUCUCCAACCAACUUUUUAUGAAUCUUUUAGUAAUUGAUUUUAAACUGGGCUGGAGUGCAAGAAUUAUGCUUGAAAUUGGUUUGGCCGCUGCGUAUUAAAGUGGUAUAAGCAUGUCCUACUCCAACACUGCCACACUGAUUACUGGAAAAGAAAAGAUGCAUUCAGUGAAUGAAUGAAAUGCCAAUAACUGAGAUGGUCCAGCACCAUCAUUAUCACAGUAUUACUCAAAGAAAGAUUAUGGGUUAUGAGUUAUCCAGAUGUCCCUUUGUUUCACUAAGUUCCAAGCUAAGCAGCAGUCUUAUGAUUUAGUACUGAAUUCUGGGAUCUUGCUAAAAAUGCAUGUCGUAGAGAGGGAAGAGCAAGCGUAACUUAGAGGCGGAGAACGAUGACAACCAAUGGGGCUGCUAAAGGUGGGUGCUCUAUGGUUGAUCAAUGAUCGACUACAUAUUUCUUUCCCUAUUCCAGAGAUUAUGCAUCCGCACGAAGGAAUCAAAUCAGUUUCUAUAAUACAUCGUGAUAUAAACCAUCAUAUUUAUCGGAGACAUCCUUAUCGGAGAAGGUUUGAUGUUAAAGUUUCAGGAUUCAGGCUUGUAAAAUCAUAUUUCUGUCCGGAUCAAUCUUAUGCUAGCAAGAAGUAGGGAUACUAUGGCUUAUAGGUCAAAUACUAGUUUGCUCUCAUUGUUCCAUUUAAAGUUUAUGAAGCUAUUUCUUUAUGCAAUUCAAAACAAAUUCUAUA